rnacentral:lncRNA from 1 species
UUUUCAACCUUCUGGUGUAAUUCUUGCACAACCAUCAGUUCCAAGCUUUCUAUCCGGGCAUGCUUCACUCCGGUGGUCACUGACGAACGACGGCGGUGGUAAAUCCGCUCGAAUCAACCACGGCAGCCAUGAUUAGGGACGUAAUGUAUUAUGCAGCAUAAUAAAGCAUACUUCAUCAGCCGCAACGCGGCGGGAUCAUCCUAGUUAUAAUAAUAAAUAACAAAUAUAAAAUUGUACACAUCACUUUCAAUUAGGUAUUAACCACCCACUUACUAACUUACCCAUCCUCUCACAAGCAUGCUGCUACAAGUCUAUAUUUGAUCAUCAUUUGCCUGCUUCGUCGGAACAUUCAUAAGCUGGUCAAUAAUGGAUUUUUCAUGAGGAAGCCUACCAAGGUUCACUCGUGCUAAUCGUAUAAAGGAAAGGGUCGUUAUUCUUACAGGUUUCAACUUCUAAGGUGAGUCUACAAACAAUUGUUCCUUUUCAUAAUUAAGGUAGGGAAGUUAUACUAUAUAUGGUGGGUGAUGAAUUAUGGUUUCAAACUUUGAAUCCUGGAAUCUUGAAUAUUGUUUAUUGAUUGUGAAUUUGUGAUUUCGGGGAGUCUUUUAUUGAUUCAAUGACGUAAUUAAAAGUGUUGGGUCAUUGGUUUCUUCCUGAAUUCUAUCAAGGCUUGCAUGGGGUUGACUAUAGUUAUCUUAUUUGAUGGCUAUUAUCCUUACUAACACAAAAAAACUAGUUUGAUGUGAUUGGACAAGUGAUCAGCCAGUUUUGUUGUUAUAAUGUUUGUGUUUCAUUGGUAAAGACAAAGCCUUUA